UCUUUUCCUUUUUUUCCCUCCUCCUCUUUAAUACUUAAUUUCCUUUCUUUAUCCGGAUUUAUUGGGUUUAAAGGGAGCGUAGGCCGGAGAUUAAGCGUGUUGUGAAAUGUAGAUGCUCAACGUCUGCACUGCAGCGCGAACUGGUUUCCUUGAGUACGCACAAAGUGGGCGGAAUUCGUGGUGUAGCGGUGAAAUGCUUAGAUAUCACGAAGAACUCCGAUUGCGAAGGCAGCUCACUGGAGCGCAACUGACGCUGAAGCUCGAAAGUGCGGGUAUCGAACAGG
rnacentral:rRNA from 1 species